UUUGGGUUGGUAUAUGUGCCUCUUGAUUGUCGUGUGUAUGAUAAACAUUCUUUUUAAAUUGGUGCCAAGCUAAGCAAAGUCUUUUAUUUAACUCAAUGGCAUAUCUUUGUGUGACAUGAUACCUUUGAAUCACUGCCUUUCUUAUCAGAGGAUCAGAAGUCUGGCAUAGAAAAUGGGGAGAAAGUGUGCCCACAUCCUUCUUGACAAGGGAGAAAACUGAGAUUGCAAGGAAUUUCUGAGCUGGGUUCUGGUUGGUCAGAUUUCUCUGUAUAUGUCAUCUUUUUCCAUCUGGAAAUUUGUUUGCAGGAAGAAUUUGAGUCUUUUCUUUGUCUGUUCAGGAUUUAUGGAUGUUCAGUAGAUUAAGCAGAGACACUGCACAGCUUGGAGAUUCCAGGAGCUACUAAACAACAAUAACGGACGGUGCAUUCAGUGUUGUAUACUGCUCCCAUGCACUGCUGAUCAAAAUGGAAUACUGGGAAUGCUGCAUUUCAACUGAGCCCGACAGGAAGGAUUAACUGGGACAAGCACUGAAUUGCACUUGACCUUGGAUGUUUCUGAAAUGUACUGGUAAGAGAAGGUGGCCCUGGAGACUUAUCGCAGGCAAGCCCCUCAGAAGAGCAGCGUGCUGGAAAAUUACACCUCCAGAGCGGGUUUGGAGGCUGGCUUCUCACCGCAGCCCUGCACCUUGCAAGCGUCUGCCACAGUUGGAGCUUGCACACUCAGCCUGAGGUAAAUCAUAAAAGUUUGCUCCUGAACAGUCAUUUCGUUGAGUGCCUCUAAAUCUGUUUUUGCAGUCACGUCAGUUCACAAGUUGACAGUCAGCUUAACUUAAAACAGAGUACAAGCUUCACUGUCCUCAGUGCUGUGAGGCUACUCUGGAAGACGUGGUGUCUGCUCCAGCUUUCCCUCCCUGGGGUACUGCAGCUCCCCAUAGACCCCUAACUGGUGGCUGAAUGCCACAAGUUACACUUCUGAAUGUGUCAUUACUGCUGUUUUACUGUAGUGACUGAUUUAUUAUGCAAGUCUGCGGUUGUACUGUAAUCAGAAAUCCAUGUGGCUUUGGGGAGACAUGAGAGGGUAACCAACAUUAGUCUAGGGUGGAUUUGAACUCUGUAGGUGUUGAGUUGUCACCAAAAAUAUUUACCUUCCCUUUAAUAUGCUACACAGUAGAUUACCUUCUUAUUCUAAACAAACAAACAAAAUAUAAUGAAUUAAAAGACCUUGUGAUAUAUUAAAGAAAUUCAAAAGACUUAAAAGAGGGGAACAAAGGGGCAGUCAUAUAGAACGUGAUAUCUGAAACAAGAGCCAAGUUUAAAAAAUGAUUAGCUGUUUACUGGCCAAAGAAAACAAAUCUCUGUUAGGCUUAACCUGCCUAUUCCUCUCCUAAGUCUCAAAUACCAACACAUGGGAGUCCUAUGGUGGAAAUUUAGGUUUAAUUCUGUUUUGUUUUACUUGGCGAUUGUAUUCCUCCAACCUUAUUGUUUUUCAGCAUUCAGUAUGUUUAAUUCUGCAUCUCAAUAUAAGGUAUAUUAUAAGAGCACAGUCAAUAGGUCCUGCAAAAUAAUAUAAACAUCACUUCUCCUUAUGACAUGUAGCAUAAUUCCGAGGGACUGGCCUAGAGGAAAAGCUUCCCUUACGACAUAUUUUACCCAUGAAGAACCCAUUUCAUGUCUCCACAAUAGAUAGAUGAAAAAUGUACUAAAUAUCAGUCAUAGCUGACCGCUACAA
ensembl:lncRNA